GAUGAACGCUGGCGGCGUGCCUAAUACAUGCAAGUCGAGCGAGCAGACGAGGAGCUUGCUCCUCUGACGUUAGCGGCGGACGGGUGAGUAACACGUGGAUAACCUACCUAUAAGACUGGGAUAACUUCGGGAAACCGGAGCUAAUACCGGAUAAUAUAUUGAACCGCAUGGUUCAAUAGUGAAAGACGGUUUUGCUGUCACUUAUAGAUGGAUCCGCGCCGCAUUAGCUAGUUGGUAAGGUAACGGCUUACCAAGGCAACGAUGCGUAGCCGACCUGAGAGGGUGAUCGGCCACACUGGAACUGAGACACGGUCCAGACUCCUACGGGAGGCAGCAGUAGGGAAUCUUCCGCAAUGGGCGAAAGCUUGACGGAGCAACGCCGCGUGAGUGAUGAAGGUCUUCGGAUCGUAAAACUCUGUUAUUAGGGAAGAACAGAUGUGUAAGUAACUAUGCACGUCUUGACGGUACCUAAUCAGAAAGCCACGGCUAACUACGUG
rnacentral:rRNA from 1 species